AAAAUUAGUAAGGGAAAGGCCGGGGAAGGAGUACGCACAACAACGCCGCGGCAUAAAAUGCAUCAUGAUUUGUGGCAGCCUGAGUUCUGAUGAAUGGUCCAAGGCGGCUGCGGAUCAAAAUUCAAGGAAGCAAUUACUAGACCAAAUGAUCCAGAUAAUCGAGGAGGAAAAUUUUGAUGGAUUGGGCAUUGGUUGGCAGUACAGGUGCCUGCCCAGAUGGUGACUGUUCCAAAGGCAACAGAAAAGACAAGGAAAACUUAGUAACCCUGAUGAAAGAACUUUACAAAAUGACAAAGGAACGAGGGAAGUUGUUACUUUUGUUGCUGCCAAGUCCUGAUGAGAUCUUAGACGCAGGAUACGAUUUAAAGGCAUUGUGGAAUUCUGUCGACUACUUUUACAUCUACACCUUUUUCUACGCCGGACUGUGGAACAAUUAUUUCGACUACCCAACGACUCUGUACAGAAUUGUGCUCGGUUAUCAACAUAUAAAAAUGCAUAUUACUCAUCUUAUGAUCAUUUGAAGGGUGGAACCAUCAAUUCAUUAAAAGGAAAAAUCGGGCUCGCAAAAAUGAGAAAGGUUCUCGGUGGGUUUGCUCCGCAAGCUGUCCUUUACGCUUUGGAACAACCAAAUCCGAAGCCAGCAUUUAGAAAUCCUACUAAGAAAGAUCUAUCGUAUUAUUCAAACAUGUC